AGUGAACGCUGGCGGUAGGCCUAACACAUGCAAGUCGAACGGCAGCACAGUAAGAGCUUGCUCUUACGGGUGGCGAGUGGCGGACGGGUGAGGAAUACAUCGGAAUCUACUUUUUCGUGGGGGAUAACGUAGGGAAACUUACGCUAAUACCGCAUACGACCUACGGGUGAAAGCAGGGGAUCUUCGGACCUUGCGCGAUUGAAUGAGCCGAUGUCGGAUUAGCUAGUUGGCGGGGUAAAGGCCCACCAAGGCGACGAUCCGUAGCUGGUCUGAGAGGAUGAACAGACACACUGAAACGGAGAAACGGUCCAGACUCCUAGGGGAGGCAGAAGUGGGGAAUUUUGGAAAAGGGGAGCAAGCCUAAUCCAGCCAAACCGGGUGGGGGAAGAAGGCCUUCGGGUUGUAAAGCCCUUUUGUGGGGAAAAAAAAGCAGCAGGUUAAUACCCCGCUGUUCUGACGGUACCAAAAAAAUAAGCACCGGCUAACUUCGU
rnacentral:rRNA from 1 species